rnacentral:rRNA from 1 species
GAUCAUGGCUCAGGACGAACGCUGGCGGCGCNCCUAACACAUGCAAGUCGAACGAGCGAGAGAGAGCUUGCUUCCUCAAGCGAGUGGCGAACGGGUGAGUAACGCGUGAGGAACCUGCCUCAAAGAGGGGGACAACAGUUGGAAACGACUGCUAAUACCGCAUAAGCCCACGACCCGGCAUCGGGUAGAGGGAAAAGGAGCAAUCCGCUUUGAGAUGGCCUCGCGUCCGAUUAGCUAGUUGGUG